AUUGAACGCUGGCGGCAGGCCUAACACAUGCAAGUCGAGCGGAUGAAGGGAGCUUGCUCCUGGAUUCAGCGGCGGACGGGUGAGUAAUGCCUAGGAAUCUGCCUGGUAGUGGGGGAUAACGUCCGGAAACGGGCGCUAAUACCGCAUACGUCCUGAGGGAGAAAGUGGGGGAUCUUCGGACCUCACGCUAUCAGAUGAGCCUAGGUCGGAUUAGCUAGUUGGUGGGGUAAAGGCCUACCAAGGCGACGAUCCGUAACUGGUCUGAGAGGAUGAUCAGUCACACUGGAACUGAGACACGGUCCAGACUCCUACGGGAGGCAGCAGUGGGGAAUAUUGGACAAUGGGCGAAAGCCUGAUCCAGCCAUGCCGCGUGUGUGAAGAAGGUCUUCGGAUUGUAAAGCACUUUAAGUUGGGAGGAAGGGCAGUAAGUUAAUACCUUGCUGUUUUGACGUUACCAGCAGAAUAAGCACCGGCUAACUUCGUGC
rnacentral:rRNA from 1 species